UAGUUUAGUGGUAGAACAUGUGCUUUGCACGUAUAAGACCCUGAGUUCGAUCCCCAG
rnacentral:tRNA from 1 species